rnacentral:rRNA from 1 species
CUGGGUUUGACAUCCCGCGAAUCCCUAUGAAAUUAGGGAGUGCCCUUCGGGGAACGCGGAGACAGGUGCUGCAUGGCUGUCGUCAGCUCGUGCCGUGAGGUGUUGGGUUAAGUCCCGCAACGAGCGCAACCCUUGUUGCCAGUUGCUACCAGGUAAUGCUGGGCACUCUGGCGAGACUGCCCGGGUCAACCGGGAGGAAGGUGGGGACGACGUCGAGUCAUCAUGGCCCUUACAUCCAGGGCUACACACGUACUACAAUGGCAGGUACAAAGGGUUGCCAAGCCGCGAGGCCGCGCUAAUCCCAGAAAGCCUGUCUCAGUCCGGAUUGCAGUCUGCAACUCGACUGCAUGAAGCUGGAAUCGCUAGUAAUCCCGGAUCAGCAUGCCGGGGUGAAUACGUUCCC